AGAGACCCAAGUUGACAGACAAUCGGCGUAAAGAGUGGUUAAGUACUAUACCUCACUAAAGCCAAACACCUUCAAAGCUGUUAUACGCACCCGAAGGUUAGAAGCCCAWYCACRAAAGUGGCUUUAAACUUACUGAACCCACGAAAGCUAGGGCACAAACUGGGAUUAGAUACCCCACUAUGCCUAGCCUUAAACAUUGAUGGUAAUUUACAACUACCAUCCGCCUGGGAACUACGAGCACCA
rnacentral:rRNA from 1 species